rnacentral:sRNA from 1 species
AUGUUGGAAGCAGCAACUCAAAUAUUAGAUGAAGACCAAAGUGAUUCUCCACUUCCAGAUUACUUUCAAGAUGCUCAAGACUUGUAUGGGACAACAUUUGAGUUGAAUUGUUGCACCAGAUCAGUAUAUAAGAUUUUCAGCAUGUUUUGUAUCAAAAUAAAUUAGAGGAUUUUACUUUUGGUAUUAUUAGACAAUUACUUUUGGUGAAUUAGACAGUUCUGGCAGCUCGUGUCAGACCUUUCGCUAUUCAUUUGCAAUCUGCAGUAUCAUUUGAAUUUUGGUGGUAUCAGGAAUUAUUGAAGACUUUUCUCUAUUCAUCUACCAUACUCUUUUGGCAGUCGGCAAUUGUUGGAGACUUUUCACUAUUGGUGAAUAUUGUUGUUCAUUUUACUUUCCAUUGUAUUAUUGCAAUUUUAUUAUUUACUUUUGUAGGCUAUAUAAGACACAUCUUGUAUUGGGGCACUUAAUUUCAGCUCUAUGUUUUCCUCAGUUUCCAAACUUUCCUUUGCAACCUUCUUUUGUAUCCCAAAUCUUCAUUUAUAUUCCUAACCUCAAUCUUCCCUUGUGAUAUUAUAAAAUAUGUAAAUGAAUUUUAGAGUUUCAAGUAUUACUUAUAUUUUGCAACUUUCGUUUAACCUUCCUCCAAAGGAAAAAAUAAUCAUCUUAGACUAUAAGAAAAAUCAUAAUUUUUUUCUGUUUAAUUAUUCAAAACCAUGUUUACUGUGCUCAAAUUGGACAAUCAAAUUAAAAGAUAUGACUAGAUCUAGUUUUAAGAGUCAAAAUGCAUUUGCAUAGCUAAGGUGAAUCACAUGUGGUUGCUACUAAUUAAUUAUGAUUGAUCUAUUAAAAGAAUUAAUAUAAUUAUUGUGAGUGGAGUAGAUUCAAUUCUGGGCCAAGGCCCAAAGGGCCUUAAAGCUCACACUAAAAAGGACAGGCUAGGCCCACUAUUAUGAAUCAUAAAGGAAAGUGCCCCCCAGAUGAUUCUCGAGGAGUUCAGGAUAUGCUACCAACACUAAAACUCUCAUCCAAGGAAACAAAUAUGGGUGACCUCGGAUAAUACAAAGGAGUAAUACCGGAAAACCAGUUUCUUUUUUGUAAUCUGAGGUACCAUUCUCCUUAAGCAUAUCACGGGGAAUUCCUUGAGGGGGAUAAGCAUUAUAGAGACUGUCACCUUCGCAUUAAUGAGAGGUUCUCUAUCUAAUCCCUAUCACAUUAAAUGCAUGUGAGACAAUCUAAAGUCCUGAACAGUACUAAUAUCCCCAAAAGUCCUACUUUAAGAUAAAAAUGAGGGGAAACCAAUAGGAGGAAAAAUAUCCAAAAAAGAUCUAGUUAAGAGUAAGCCAGCUGGAGGGAUAAGGGAAAGAAAAAGCCUAUAAGAAAAGAGGGAGUGUGAGAAAAAGGGAGAAGAAAAAAGAAAAAGAAAAAGAGGAGUGGACAGAUUUUUUCUUCUCUUCGAAUCCCAUCACAACAGGAAAAGUGUGUAAUGAUUGUUGCUAAUAAUAUUAAUACAAUCUUGCUUUUAUAAAUUAGUUGUUUGAGUUUCUCAUUAUGGAGUUUUCAUCUUACACAUUAAAUAAAUAAAUUAUGUUAUUCAGAUAUCUAGGCUGAUAUAUAUCUUUAAGGGCUUUUCGGCCUUUUUAGAUUGUUUUUGACCUCCACAAUUAUUUAGAUAUAUAUAUUUUUGGGUUGUCUUCUAUAUAUAUAUAUAUAUAUAUAACUCAAAGAAAAUCCAAUUAUAUUUUAAUUGGAUUCUCAAUUUUGCAUUGCAUGUCUCAUCUAAUUUUUAAUUUUUGUGCUAAGUGAAUUGUUGAGUGUAAUAAUCAAUGAAUCCAAAUUCAAUUAUAUUUUAAAUUGGAUUUUAAUUGGAGUCUAAUUUUGUGACACGUAUCUAUCUAAUUUUUUAAUUUUUGUGGCAAGUGACUUAUUAGGUGCAAAAACUGAAAAUGAUAAAUCCAAUUAAAUUCUAAAUUAUAUAUGUAUAAUGAGAAAUAAUUAUAUAUUUUAGAAAUGCAUAGUUAAAAAAAAAAAAAGUGUAAGCUAAUACCAUGUAUAAUUUAAACAUCUUCUAACAAAAAUGUAUUAUUUGAAAGAUAUAAUUGUGAUCAUUUUUAAUUAUACCUGUGCAAAUGCACGAAAUUAUACACUAGUAAUAAUAAUGAUAAGGAUCUAUGCGUUUUAGACAUUCUAAGAGAUUGGAUUAUUAGAAAGUCCAUAAGUUUUAAACAAUUAAUUUAUUUUAAGUCAUUGUCUAAAAAUGAUAAAUAUUAUGAAAAAAAAAAAAAAAAAAAAAGCAAAUCUAGACGGUUAGGAUAGUAAAUUAGGACUCUGAAGCCAGAACAAGUUCUAAAAAUUAAUUCAGAAGAGUCAAAACAGUAAACACCCAAACUUAAAACAAAGCACCAAAAAAAAAAAAAAAAUUUUGUGAUUUUUCAGAUUCCAGCUCAACUCUUAAGCCCAAGGCUUUUACCUUUUUACCAUUUAUUUCCUUAAUUAUGGAACCUUUUCUUUGUAUGCUAUUGGUAUUCUUAUUUACACUUGUUUGACAAGUUUGUCUCAAAUUUGUUUAUGAGAUUUUCUCAAACUUUAGUGUGCUUUCAGUUAAAAUUUUCUUUUUAGUGGUUCAUUUUGUGGGUUGGCUCUUCUAUUUUAAGGUUAAUAGUAAUAGUAGUGAUUGCUCCAUCUAAGUGCUUGUUUGGUUCAGCUUUUUGGGGGCCAAAAAACACAAAACCAAAUUGAAACUUUUUUACCACAUUUUCACGUUGGACCCCAAGCAAUUUUAGAUUUAGCGUUUUUGGCCCUAAAACAUGAAAAAACACAUUUUCACGUUAGACCCUUAGAGGUACAAUACUGCAAUGCAAAAACGCAAUACAAAUCCAAUAGGGAACCCUUAGAAACUUUCUCCCAUAUCCUUUAAUAACCUUUAUAAUUUUUUCAAAAACCCACCAAUUUUACUCAUUUACCUAACCACAAAACAAAACCCAUUCUCAGCAAAUCACCAUGUUGCUGGACUCACCUUGCUGGUACAUUUUUCCUUAAUGUUUUCUUGCGUUUUCCUGUGCAUUUUUCAUCUAGUACAUUUUUCUUCUACAUUUUCAUCACAAAGCAACUUCAAGUGACCUUGUGAGAUGGGCAGCCACAGUUGUUGAUGAGAAACUGGGAGUGAGUGAGAACUAAGGAGAACUUUAGUGGCAUGUUUGGAUGUUUAAAAAAGGAAGGGGAGUAGAGUAGAGGGAGGAAGAGUAAUGCAAUUACCUUGUUUGGAAGUUUUUUAAAGAAUAAAGGGGAGAGGUUUGGGGGAGUUUGGAGGGGUUUGGACUCCUUCUAACCCUCCAAUUUUAAUUCCCCCAAAUUGGAGAGAUUUGGAGGGGGAGUAGAGUACAUAAACUAUUGACCAAGUAAAUUACAUAAUUUACCCUUAUUAUAUUAACAAAAUUACACAAGGGGAAGGACUAAUUACUCCCUUCCCCCUAACUAAUUUUAAAAACAUCCAAAUAAGGUGGAGGUGAAUCAUUAUUCUCUACUCUCCUCCCAACUACUCCCCUUCCCUCUACUCCCCUCUACUCUCCUCCCUCUCUAAACUUCCAAACAAGCCAUAGGUCUUUACUAAAGAGAAGUGACGACAAAUGUCUCUGGUCACGUGUCCUUGGAUGCUUGUCACUUCUCUCAGGCUACCAUCUUAACCUGUACAAGGUUUCAGCAAAUGCUAAGAAAUUCUCUACGUAUUGUCAUUUUUGGUAAUUUAUAAUUCAUAUUACAAUUUUGAUAAAAUUUAAUCAAACACUCACAAUUUUCAAAAAGAACCUUUUAACUUUUAUGUAACACUUUUCUUUUAAAUAGAAAAAUUUAAGGGAGAUGUUUGUUUGUGUUGUUUAAAUAACAAUUUUCGUUAAUUAAAUAGCACAAUACAUAUUUUCAUAACAUUUUUUUACCCACACGUAUUUUCACAAUACUUAAAUAAUGUUACUAAAACAACAUUACUAAACGGACCCUAAUAUCAUACCUCAAUUUUAAAAAACACCUUAAAAAAAAAAAACACAAAUACCAAAAAUUGAACUAAACUGACUCUAAUUUGUGCUGGAUUGAGAUUAGGUACAUUAGUGAGAUUUUAAAGUGAAAAAGAAAAAGUAAAAGUAAAAAAAAGUUGAAAAAAGCCAAGGAGAAAGUAAAAAAAAAAAAAAAAAAAAGUUAACCUCGAAAUCAUUUCAUAUCAUGGCUUUAUGUCCGAAUCAGACACUUUUGGCUCCACCAGGAAAUUAUUGACUACUAUUUGAGAAUAUUACUAUACACAUUUUACUUUUUACUUUUUACUUUUAUUGUUCAACGAAUUAUUGUAAUAUUACUAUUUACUUUUGUACUCUAUAUAAUUAUAAGGAUGUGCCCUUGCUUUCUAAACCCUUUGUAAUCUAGAAAAAAUCAAUCGUUGAAUCCAUUACCUUCUUCCAUCUAGAAAUCCUUCCCUUUGUAAUAUUUGAAGAAUUGAAAUCAAUUGCAACACUUGAUCUAAGUAAGUCUCUAAACUGUUUUCUUGAACUGUCAUUUGGUCUUUUGAAUCUUCAUCACUUUUUUUUUCUCUGUUGCUCCCACUUGUUCUCUACUUAGGAGUGUGUUCGAUUAUCGUGCUAAAUUUGCUGAUUCUUGAUUUUGCUAAUUCUUCUUCCUCAGGGUCUCCAUGUCGAACCAAAAUCAAAGCGAUGUAG